CUUCUUAAGUCCAGGGAAGGGAGGGGACGGCGGGGCCCCAGUGUCCCUCCCCGCUGCCUCCCCCCACCCCGUUCCCCUUCUGGACGGGCGCCGUGGCUCCGGCACCCACUGCUGGGGAACCUGCGGAGUGGGCGGGGAGCGCGACUGAAAGUUCCAAGUUCACAGAAGUCCCGCGCGCGGCCCACCGCGUCUCGGGAUUUCGGGGGGGUGUGUGGGGGGCCAGGUAAGCGGUUCGCGCACGUCAGGACCAGCCCCGCACCCUCUGGCAGCCUGCGCGGCGCGCUGCCCCGCCCUCGGUCACACGAACGCGCCUUCUCACCCGCGCGCACACCCGCAGCCGAGCACACGCGUCCGCGUGCACGGCCGCUCGUGUCCUCCAUCCUCGAGCGACCACCAGGAUGUGCCUCGGGCCUCGCCGCCGCCGCCGCUGCCGCUGUGCCCGCGACAGUGCCCCUAGCCCCAUUGUGUGAAUUCCACGAAGCAACAGCUUUGGGCUCCAGGCAGAGCGCAGGAGAAUCAUGCAGAGGAAGGAAGCACACAGGUUGGAGUCGCCUCCAAACAGCCCCAAGAGCCACUUAAAAAAAUUCUUUAAGGUUGGUUUUGUUUUUGGCUUUUGGAAAGCGUAUUCACUUAGGUGAUUUCUGUUUAAAGAAAAGCAAAUAAAAGAUG
rnacentral:lncRNA from 1 species